UACGUAGGGUGCAAGCGUUAUCCGGAAUCACUGGGCGUAAAGGGCGCGUAGGUGGCGACCCAAGUCGAUGGUGAAAGCUCGCCGCUCAACGGCGAGUCGGCCACCGAUACUGGGUUGCUGGAGCACUGUAGAGGCUCAUGGAAUUCCGGGUGUAGCGGUGGAAUGCGUAGAGAUCCGGAAGAACACCGGUGGCGAAGGCGGUGAGCUGGGCGAGUUGCUGGACACUGAGGCGCGACAGCGUGGGGAGCAA
rnacentral:rRNA from 1 species